rnacentral:rRNA from 1 species
UACGUAGGGGGCGAGCGUUGUCCGGAAUUAUUGGGCGUAAAGAGCGCGUAGGCGGUCCGGUAAGUCGGCUGUGAAAGUCAAGGGCUCAACCCUUGAAAGCCGGCCGAUACUGCCGGACUAGAGUUCGGAAGAGGCGAGUGGAAUUCCCGGUGUAGCGGUGAAAUGCGCAGAUAUCGGGAGGAACACCUAUGGCGAAGGCAGCUCGCUGGGACGUUACUGACGCUGAGACGCGAAAGCGUGGGGAGCAAACAGG